rfam:Aureobasidium namibiae CBS 147.97 unplaced genomic scaffold scaffold_1, whole genome shotgun sequence.
GGCGCUUUGGCGGAGUGGUUAACGCGAUGCCCUGCUAAGGCAUUUCCUUCGGGAGCAAGAGUUCGAAUCUCUUAGGCGUCG